CCUACGGGUGGCAGCAGUGAGGAAUAUUGGUCAAUGGCCGGAAGGCUGAACCAGCCAAGCCGCGUGAGGGAGGAAGGCGCAGAGCGUCGCAGACCUCUUUUGCCGGGGGACAAAAGGCGGGACGGGUCCGGUUCUGAGGGUACCCGGAGAAAAAGCAUCGGCUAACUCCGUGCCAGCAGCCGCGGUAAUACGUAGGGAGCGAGCGUUAUCCGGAUUUAUUGGGUGUAAAGGGUGCGUAGGCGGGAAGGCAAGUUUGUUGUGAAAUCCCUCGGCUUAACUGAGGAACUGCAACCAAAACUAGCUUUCUUGAGUGCUGGAGAGGAAAGUGGAAUUCCUAGUGUAGCGGUGAAAUGCGUAGAUAUUAGGAGGAACACCAGUGGCGAAGGCGACUUUCGGGAGAGUAACUGACGUUGAGGCACGAAAGUGUGGGGAGCAAACAGGAUUAGAUACCCCUGUAGUC
rnacentral:rRNA from 1 species